GCCCGGAUGGCGGAAUUGGUAGACGCUGCGGACUUAAAAUCCGUUUCCUGCAAAGGAGUGAGGGUUCAAGUCCCUCUCCGGGCACCA
rnacentral:tRNA from 2 species